rnacentral:lncRNA from 1 species
GCCAGGCAUGAGCUAUUCAUACCACCAGGGGACCACUUCUCAUCAGAAGAUUCUCUCAUCUCCAGAGGACCUGUAUACCUUGUCAGCUUUGGACUCCAUGGACCCAACCUUCCAGUCCACUGAACCUCCUUCCUGUGCCCUCAUGGCCCCAUUUAGGGACAGCUCUAUGACCUUGUUCAGCCAGAAGUAGUUACAGAAGGUUGGCCAUCGUCCAUAUCCCCAAAGGAUUUUGGGGCCAAAUGGGUUCAGGGGAGAUUUUAUGAUGAGGAUCAAGCCUGCCCCAGGGUGAGAAGGUCAAGGCAUCCUGCCCUACAGAUGGAUCUAUAUCAUCCUCCGGGAAGCAUAGAACCUCCUGAUCUGAUCUGACCUGACUCCUAUCCAAAGUUAUAGGAUCACCCAAUAACCAGACCCCGCCUGCACUGAUACCAUUUUGAUGGCUUUUUUUUUUUCUGCUUUAUUUCCCAAACUCCCCCGGUACAUAGUUGUAUAUCUUAGUUGCAGGUCCUUCUAGUUGUGGGAUGUGGGACGCCGCCUCAACGUGGCCUGACGUGCGGUGCCAUGUCCGCGCCCAGGAUCCGAUCCCUGGGCCGCUGCAGUGGAGCACGCAAACUUAACCACUCGGCCACGGAGCCGGCUGCCUUUUGAUGGCUUUUUUACAUGAUCUUUCCUUUGUCUUGUAAAGAAAUAACUCACAUACCUGUGCCUUAUAAAUUUAGCCCUACCCUCAACCCAUUGCAGCUCUUUACUGCCCAUGGGUCCUGUCCCCAUGCUACUCCAUGCUAUUCUCUGAAUAAAGGAGCACUACUACCAGAUCUUGAGAAUCCAGGAAAUCUUUCUUUCAACUCCUCAGCUCACAGAGCCUGCAUCAUUUUUCAUUAGAACAGCUUAGCUAUAAUGAGAUGAUUGCACUUCAU